rnacentral:rRNA from 1 species
AGUGAACGCUGGCGGUAGGCCUAACACGUGCAAGUCGAACGGCAGCACAGUAAGAGCUUGCUCUUACGGGUGGCGAGUGGCGGACGGGUGAGGAAUACAUCGGAAUCUACUUUUUCGUGGGGGAUAACGUAGGGAAACUUACGCUAAUACCGCAUACGACCUACGGGUGAAAGCAGGGGAUCUUCGGACCUUGCGCGAUUGAAUGAGCCGAUGUCGGAUUAGCUAGUUGGCGGGGUAAAGGCCCACCAAGGCGACGAUCCGUAGCUGGUCUGAGAGGAUGAUCAGCCACACUGGAACUGAGACACGGUCCAGACUCCUACGGGAGGCAGCAGUGGGGAAUAUUGGACAAUGGGCGCAAGCCUGAUCCAGCCACACCGCGUGGGUGAAGAAGGCCUUCGGGUUGUAAAGCCCUUUUGUUGGGAAAGAAAAGCAGCAGGUUAAUACCCCGCUGUUCUGACGGUACCCAAAGAAUAAGCACCGGCUAACUUCGUG